rnacentral:rRNA from 1 species
GACGGAGGGGGCAAGCGUUGUCCGGACUUACUGGGCGUAAAGGGCGCGUAGGUGGCUAUUCACGUCUCGGGUGAAAUCGCUCGGCUCAACCGGGCGCGGUCUCGGGAUACGGGAAAGCUUGAGGCAUCCAGAGGUCGGUGGAAUUCCCGGUGUAGUGGUGAAAUGCGUAGAGCUCGGGAGGAACACCAGUGGUGCAGACGGCCGACUGGGGAUGACCUGACACUGAGGCGCGACAGCGUGGGGAGCGAACCGA